UCUGCUCUACCAACUGAGCUAUCAAGGUGCUCUCAUCCACAACUGCAGAAAACAUAGUGGCUGAGACGACACACUAUGCCCACCCACAUGGUCAAUGAAAAGCCCAGCCCUACCUGCAGAACAAAGCUUUGCAGUUUGAACCCAACAGUCAUUGCCAGGGACCCAGAACUGGAGACUUUUAGGCUGGGUGAAUAAAAAAUUGAUGGUUGGAAAAUUAAGCAGAAGUUAUGUUGUUUGUGUUUUUACAUUUUGGAGGAGUUGACAGGUAAAGACCAGGCUUGGAGUGGAAGUUGAACCUGCGACCUUCGGACCACAGCUUUUCAUAUGAGGAGGUUCCUAGAGUCCUCUGCUCUACCAACUGAGCUAUCAAGGUGCUCUCAUCCACAACUGCAGGAAACAUAGUGGCUGAGACGACACACUAUGCCCACCCACAUGGUCAAUGAAAAGCCCAGCCCUACCUGCAGAACAAAGCUUUGCAGUUUGAACCCAACAGUCAUUGCCAGGGACCCAGAACUGGAGACUUUUUGGCUGGGUGAAUAAAAAAUUGAUGGUUGGAAAAUUAAGCAGAAGUUAUCUUUUUUGUGUUUUUACAUUUUGGAGGAGUUGACAGGUAAAGACCAGGCUUGGAGUGGAAGUUGAAACAGCGAACUUGGCACACCUGAACACAAGGUAUGCAGACAUGUGCGCAUGUUGCAAUAUUGACACAUUGCAAGGGGCGAUCUUCCGAACUUCCAUGUUUAGCUCUUCGUAGAGUCAAACAAUGGCGGAAAAUUUUAUUGAGAGCCCAGUUGGCUAUCUGCCCCCUACAUGAUACCGCCAGUAUCCAAUGUUGCCAAUUUAGCGACUUUGUUGCUAGAUUUAGCGACUUUUGGCCAUCUCUGGCGACUAAAACCUCAUCUAGCAACUUAGCAGCUUUUUAGGUGAAUCUGGCGACUUUAAAAAAAAGCAACCCUCGAGUGUCAAAAUCAUUGUUUUUCAAUGUAACUUCAGCUUUGCACUGCCACCAGAAGCUUAUUUCAUGGUUAAGCAGCACUACGCAUUAGCCCCGAUCUCGAAACUGUACCCUUUGGGAUUGUCAUCAUAGCCAUGUAGACACAUUUUCUUGAGCUCAGUGAGUCGUGACUGAUGUUUUGACAUCAUAGUCACGUCAUGACGUAAUCUAGCGACUUUUCAGAGAACCAAUAGCGACUUUUGGUGACUUGUUUUUGGCAACACUACCAGUAUCGUGCAUAGUGCUCUGAUCGUUCUGCUGCAAGUAUGUGUGGUUGCGCACGUAAAUUAAGUCACACAGCUAGCAUAUCCUGGGCCUUAGGGCUCACUGAAAGGACUUUCAUUCAAAACCCUUGGUAAAUCAGAGGCCCUUUAAGAACAUUUGUAAUCAGAGGGCUCUCUUAACAGUAUGCUCUCCCAUUAGGGCUCUCCCUAGGGGCCUCCACAUAGCCAGAAGUCACGACCCUUAGCAGGGGCUUUCAUAAUCAUAGGGCCCUCUGAAAGCAUUCCCCCCUACUUCCUUGAACCCCUAGUUGGUAAACGUUAGGGCUCCCUUAGGAGUAUUCACAAGAGGCACUACAGCAGGGCCAGCCCAGGGGCCCUCUGACUGCCAUCCCCCAAAGCCCAGGGGCGCUCUGAUUGCCGUCUCUGUCCCCCUCGCCCAAUUCGUAUCACCCUUCUCUCUCGGUUCUCUUCAGAUAUGCCCUAUAACAGUGUGAGUAGUCAUAAGAUCCUAGAGAAUAGAGGCCCUUUGACAUCGCAAUUGGCAU
rnacentral:lncRNA from 1 species